GUCCUUUAGAGAUAAUUGAAGGUUUAACCUGCCCACUGAGAAAUUUUAAAUGGCCGCAGUAAAUUGACUGUGCAAAGGUAGCAUAAUCAAUAGUUUUUUAAUUGAAAGCUUGUAUGAAUGGUUGGACGAGAUAAAAUCUGUCUUUAGUUAAUAAAUAAAAUUUAAUAUUUAAGUUAAAAAGCUUAAAUAAUAUUAAAAGACGAGAAGACCCUAUAGAUCUUUAUAAUAUUGUAAUUAUUUGUAUUAAAGAUUAAUUUAUAUUUUAUUUAUGUUAUUAUUAUAUUGGGGUAAUAGAGAGAUUAGAAAAAUUCUUUUUAAAAAUUAACAAUAAUUUUUGAUUUAGUGAUCCAUUAAUUAAUGAUUAAAAGAUUUAGUUACCUUAGGGAUAACAGCGUAAUUUUUUUAGAGAGUUCAUAUCGAUAAAAAAGUUUGCGACCUCGAUGUUGGAUUAAAAAUUAUUCUAGGUGUAGUAGUUUAGAAUUUUGGUCUGUUCGACCAUUAAAUUUUUACAUGAUCUGAGUUCAGACCGGUGUAAGCCAGGUCGGUUUCUAUCUUUAGUUAGAGAUAAUAUUUUAGUACGAAAGGACCAAUUAUUAAAUAUGCAAUAUUUUUAUUAUUGAAUUA
rnacentral:rRNA from 1 species